CAGUAGCCGCGGGAAUACGAAGGGGGCGAGCGUUGCUCGGAAUGACUGGGCGUAAAGGGCGCGUAGGUGGCGUGCACAGUCAGAUGUGAAAUUCCUGGGCUCAACCUGGGGGCUGCAUUUGAUACGUGCGUGCUAGAGUGUGGAAGAGGGUCGUGGAAUUCCCAGUGUAGAGGUGAAAUUCGUAGGUAUUGGGAAGAACACCGGUGGCGAAGGCGGCGACCUGGUCCAUUACUGACGCUGAGGCGCGAAAGCGUGGGGAGCAAACAGGAUUAGAGACCCCGGUAGUCCCUGUCUCUUAUAC
rnacentral:rRNA from 1 species